GCUGCUUUUCAGAUGUUUCCCUCAUACUUUGCACACGUCACCUAGAAGAGAAUGCCAAGAGACAACUUCAGAAUAAGGUGGGAGCUAGCCAUAAAGUGAAGAUGGAUAUCAUAAAGGAUAUUUUUGGCAAACAUGGACUUGUCUGUGCAGAGGACUCAUUCACUUUUGAUGAUAGUUCUGAGGCAAUAAUAGACAAAUGUGAGGAACUGGUUCCACAAUUUCUUCCAUAUCUUCGUGAAAGACUUCUGCCAAUCAUUAGAACAUAUGUAUUCCAACCAAGAAUGAAACACAAACAAGUACCUCAGCACUGGACAAACAACAAUUGUGAGACGAUGAACUUCAUCUUGAAAACAGCCGUUAAUUGGAAACCAGAGAAGCUUCCUGACCUUGUUGAUAAACUUCACAGGAUUGUCAAAACACAGUUUGCGGACAUGCGUCGAGCUCUCAGAGGAGAAAGCAACUUCCAGCUAGCUCCUGCCUUCAGUAAAUUCAAAAUAACUAUCAGUGCCUGGAACAACAAGACUGAAGAUGAAAAGGAAGCCUGCUUCACCAAGUUCUUAAAUGCAAAAAUUAAGGAUGACAACAACUAUAUUACCUCAACUGAUGGCCAGUUGUCCAUUCCAAAACCUCAGCGGUUGGCCAAGAAACCUGGACAGAAGACUCGUGCAACAAGAACCAGAACGACUAUAUAGACUAUAUAGAAAUAUAGGCUCCCAAUAAUUGCCAUUCUCAAAAAAAAGAAAAGCAGUUCCUCUGUAUAUGGAAACCUUACUUGAACUCUAUGACCACGAUGAAAGUCAAUAUGCUCGCUUAGUUAUAUUGGGGUUACUUCACCUGCUUGGAGAAAGGAAAGACUCCAUUUUUACUAAGGUACCAGAAGAAGAACUAAGAGCAGGGCAGUCUAGUGUGUAUUUGAUGGUGCACCUGUAGUUGAACCAACAUGUAUUUCUAUGGCUGUAGUCUCGUUGGUAGCAGGGCUUUAUGUGUUUAAUAUUGAACACCCAAAAAAUUGUGAACAUUUCCUCCGUUUCACAACAUCCCAUCUCUUAGGUAUCAAGUAUGACAGAGGUAACACUUCAAAAACAAGAUCUCUACUUGUAAAACUCAAUGAAGUAAAGACAGAAUUGAGCUACAAAAAUGCAUAAAUCUGCUUCAAAAUAUAUUCAACUCCACACAUAAUGCCUCUCUCUCUCUCUCUCUCUCUCUCUCUCUCUCUCUCUCUCUCUCUCUCUCUCUCUCUCUCUCUCUCUCUCUCUCUCUCUCUCUCUCUCUCUCUCUCACACACACACACACACACACACACACUAGUCAAUUACUAGUUAAAGAUUAAUCAGUGAAAUAAAUACAUAACAUUAUGUUAAUAAGUUUUCUAAAAGGAAAAGGAAAUACUUGUA